UGGGGAAUUUUGGACAAUGGGCGAAAGCCUGAUCCAGCAAUGCCGCGUGUGUGAAGAAGGCCUUCGGGUUGUAAAGCACUUUUGUCCGGAAAGAAAUCCUUGGCUCUAAUACAGUCGGGGGAUGACGGUACCGGAAGAAUAAGCACCGGCUAACUACGUGCCAGCAGCCGCGGUAAUACGUAGGGUGCAAGCGUUAAUCGGAAUUACUGGGCGUAAAGCGUGCGCAGGCGGUUUGCUAAGACCGAUGUGAAAUCCCCGGGCUAACCUGGGAACUGCAUUGGUGACUGGCAGGCUAGAGUAUGGCAGAGGGGGGUAGAAUUCCACGUGUAGCAGUGAAAUGCGUAGAGAUGUGGAGGAAUACCGAUGGCGAAGGCAGCCCCCUGGGCCAAUACUGACGCUCAUGCACGAAAGCGUGGGGAGCAAAACAGGAUUAGAUACCCUGGUAGUCCACGCCCUAAAACGAUGUCAACUAGUUGUUGGGGAUUCAUUUCCUUAGUAACGUAGCUAACGCGUGAAGUUGACCGCCUGGGGAGUACGGUCGCAAGAUUAAAACUCAAAGAAUUGACGGGGUCAUAGCUGUUUCCU
rnacentral:rRNA from 1 species